CUCGAUUUUGCCCGGGACUAAAAGUUUAGAUUACAAACGAGUCUAUGAGGCCCAAUUAGUGGCUCAAUUAGAUACGACCCAAAAUAAAAUUAAAUGAAGGCCCAAAUACAGUGGCCCAAGUGGAUGACAGAAACCCUAGGGUUUCUAACCAUUUGCGCCGCAACCACCUAGCCCGCCGCAGCCGAAUCUUCACCUGCAAACACAAAAAUGGAAAGGGAAUCAAAGAUUGGCGAAUCAUAUUGGAAGGAGAUUUGUUCCUUUAUUUAUUUUAUUAUUAUGGCUAUAAGAAGCCAUUGAACACACUGUAAUAAAAAAAAAUCCAGAUUCGAAAAUCAAUAAAAAUACAAGUAUUUUCACGAACAACCGAAUACCAAGAGUGCACAAAAUCUAUCAAGAAAUCAAAAGGUUGAUAUUUUAGCAUCGUCCUCUUCUAUAUUUUUUUUAUUUUUUUACUUUACUUUGCUAAAAUACAAUAAAACAAAAAGGAAAGAAAUAACCUGGAUUUUAAGCCUUGAUCGCUGUGAACGGCCGAGGAACCGUCUCCGAGGAAAGACGGUCAGAAACCGAAGCGUUUCUCGGGAUUUUGAGCCCAGAUUUGCGUUUAGGGGCUUCGGAGAAGACUGGAUUUGAGAUUCUCCCUUUUCCAGCCGCCGCAUAUGGCGGUGCCAGCGCCGGAGAUCGGCGGCUGAAGCGGUGGCCGAUGACUGGACUCUGGCCGGACGAAUAGGGAGGGGUAGAGCUCCUCAGAG
rnacentral:lncRNA from 1 species